rnacentral:lncRNA from 1 species
UUUCUUUAUAUAUAUAUAUAUAUUAUAUAUAUAUAUUCUUCCUUGCACCUUUUAAAGUCCCCAGCCCAACAGUGCACAUAUGUAACUGUAAGUGCUCUCUGUCAGUGUAAUUAUUAGCCCACAAAGGGCUAGGCACACACUUCAGGGUAUCCAUGGAGCAGCGUCAGAGUGCCAGCAUUUUCUACAGUGAAGCCUCAGGAGCAAACCUCUGCCUGCCCUUUUCAGUCACUCAGAUGAGAUGUGCCAUCCUGCCACUCCUGGGGCUCCACAGAAACUGGGCUGAAUGCAAAAACUCCCACAGAACUCAGGUUAAUAUAUUUCUCCUUUGUUUUACCAUAAUGAAUUAGUUAAAAUCAGGAGAGCUCUUCUGGGGGAAAUAUUCACUUUAUGUUCUACUUAGUUUUAAAAUACGAAAUCAUCUCUCAGUUCUCUCCUGUUUAUUGUUUCUUACAAAUGUAGAACAGCCUCUUACAGAACAUCCGUGCUGCAGUCUGAGGGAAUUUGCUUUUAUGCUCUUUAAAAACCAAGCAAGCACAAACUGCCACAAUAUUUAUGCACUUAAUCUAGAUGGGAGAUUUGUAUGUGAUGAUGCAAUGUGAAUUUUUAU